rnacentral:rRNA from 1 species
AGAGUUUGAUCCUGGCUCAGGAUGAACGCUAGCGGGAGGCUUAACACAUGCAAGUCGAGGGGUAAGGCUCUUUCGGGAGUACACGACCGGCGCACGGGUGCGUAACGCGUAUGCAAUCUACCUUCAACUGGAGAAUAGCCCGAGGAAACUCGGAUUAAUACUCCAUAAUAUCCAAUUUUCGCAUGAUUUUUGGAUUAAAGUUCCGGCGGUUGAAGAUGAGCAUGCGUGACAUUAGAUAGUUGGUGAGGUAACGGCUCACCAAGUCUACGAUGUCUAGGGGGUCUGAGAGGAUGAUCCCCCACACUGGUACUGAGACACGGACCAGACUCCUACGGGAGGCAGCAGUGAGGAAUAUUGGGCAAUGGGCGCAAGCCUGACCCAGCCAUCCCGCGUGAAGGAUGAAAGCCCUAUGGGUUGUAAACUUCUUUUAUAUAGGAAGAAUUCCCUCUACGUGUAGAGGAUUGACUGUACUAUAUGAAUAAGCAUCGGCUAACUCCGUGCCAGCAGCCGCGGUAAUACGGAGGAUGCAAGCGUUAUCCGGAUUUAUUGGGUUUAAAGGGUCCGUAGGUGGAUCAAUCAGUCAGUGGUGAAAUCCUGCAGCUUAACUGUAGAACUGCCAUUGAUACUGUUGAUCUUGAGUGCAGAUGAGGUAGGCGGAAUGAGUAGUGUAGCGGUGAAAUGCUUAGAUAUUACUCAGAACACCGAUUGCGAAGGCAGCUUACUAAACUGUUACUGACACUGAUGGACGAAAGCGUGGGGAGCGAACAGGAUUAGAUACCCUGGUAGUCCACGCCGUAAACGAUGCUCACUCGCUGUAUGCAAUACACCGUAUGCGGCCAAGCGAAAGUGUUAAGUGAGCCACCUGGGGAGUACGAUCGCAAGGUUGAAACUCAAAGGAAUUGACGGGGGCCCGCACAAGCGGAGGAACAUGUGGUUUAAUUCGAUGAUACGCGAGGAACCUUACCUGGGCUUAAAUGUAGAACGACGGAUCGGGAAACUGAUCUUUCUUCGGACGCUUUGCAAGGUGCUGCAUGGCUGUCGUCAGCUCGUGCCGUGAGGUGUCGGGUUAAGUCCCAUAACGAGCGCAACCCUCAUCAUUAGUUGCCAGCGGGUAAUGCCGGGGACUCUAAUGAAACUGCCGGUGUAAACCGAGAGGAAGGUGGGGAUGACGUCAAGUCAGCACGGCCCUUAUGUCCAGGGCUACACACGUGUUACAAUGGUCGAUACAAAGGGCAGCUACCUGGUGACAGGAUGCUAAUCUCCAAAAUCGAUCUCAGUUCGGAUCGAAGUCUGCAACUCGACUUCGUGAAGCUGGAUUCGCUAGUAAUCGCGCAUCAGCCACGGCGCGGUGAAUACGUUCCCGGGCCUUGUACACACCGCCCGUCAAGCCAUGGAAGCUGGGGGUACCUGAAGUCCGUAACCGUGAGGAGCGGCCUAGGGUAAAACUAGUAACUGGGGCUAAGUCGUAACAAGGUAGCC